CCAGCAGCCGCGGUAAUUCCAGCUCCAAUAGCGUAUAUUAAAGUUGUUGCAGUUAAAAAGCUCGUAGUUGGAUUUCUGGGAGGGUGCCAAUGUCCGCCGACGUGCGUGUGCAGCGGCGCCCUUCCAUCCUUCUGUUAACGCCUCUUGGCAUUCAUUUGCUGGUGGCGGGCUCAGAUAUUUUACCUUGAGAAAAUUAGAGUGUUUCAGGCAGGCUUGCGCCGGAAUACAUUAGCAUGGAAUAAUAGAAUAGGACUUGAACCUCUUCUGUUGGUCUGAGGGGUUGAAGUAAUGAUUAAUAGGGAUAGUUGGGGGCAUUAGUACUUAACUGUCAGAGGUGAAAUUCUCGGAUUUGUUAAAGACUAACUUAUGCGAAAGCAUUUGCCAAGGAUGUUUUCAUCAAUCAAGAACGAAAGU
rnacentral:rRNA from 1 species